UCGAUUGUUCUUCAGUCUCUUACUCUGUGAUUCUUCUUCGAUUCUUCUUCAGUUCGGUGAUUCUUCUUCGAUUUUGAGCACAGCUCCGUGAUUUAUCUCCAUGGAUUUGGAACUAUUCGUCUUCUUCGAUCAGAGGUCUUAAGCCCGGGCUCUCGAUUCUUCUUCACUCUCUUACUCUGUGAUUGUUCUUCGAUUCUUCUUCUGGUUGGUGAUUCAUCUCGGGAUUGCGAUUUGGAAGUUCCAUUUUGAGCACAGCGCCGUGAUUUAUCUCUGUGGAUUUGAAACUCUUUCGCUUCUUCGAUCAGAGAAUGAGCUCAAGGCCAGGUGGGAUGUAGACAAGUCAAUGCUAGAAGAAUCAAAGAAUGUAGCUGAGAAUAAGUACAAUGAAAUUAAUGAACAGGUCAUUGAUUGAUUUGCUUCAUGAAUAUGCUUAUGAUGUCCAGUAGACUCUUUUAUGCACAUCACAUAUCACAUAUUUAUGUACAUAACUGUAUGCAUGUAUAUUUAGUCAAUGCCAUAAAUCAAUUAAAAUAAGUAUGAAAACGUAUCCAAACUCCUCUUCAUUUGGCUAGAAGUUGUGCAAGAGCAAUGCAUGUCAUUAUAAUUUGUAAGUCACAUUCGUAACUCACAUUGAGAGAGGAAGAAGAUAACAAAUAAAUUAAGUGGGAAGUCAGAGAGAGAGAGAGAGAGAGAGAGAGGUCUUUGAGAACCAACUUUAAAGUAGGAGGGACCUGCAAGAGGUUGUUUUCUCUUUAUGUUGUAGUAUGGAUUUAGGGGUUCUGAAUCAGAUAUGCAGUAAAAAACAGUGUCAUGAUAUUAAUUGGAUGUUGUGCCUUGUCUAUUGUUUUUCUUUCUUGGAACUGCUAUGUGGGUUGAAUGUUUGGAUAGGUUAAAAUCUGCAAGAUCAUAAGAUUUGUGUUUAAUUCAUCUCAUGGUGAUGAUGGCAAAUUGAACAGUUAAUUCACUUCUUUCAUAAAUUUUAGCAAUUUAUUCAUUUUAUAGCAAUCAUGCAACAAAAAAGGCACAUAAUAAUAUUGUUAAAUACAAUUUUAAGAAUUUGGGUGAUGGAAACUCCAGAAGGUGGUGUUAAGAAUUUGGGUGAUAGUUCACCUUUG